rnacentral:lncRNA from 1 species
GCUGACUGUGCUGUGAGGAAGGCUCCUUCUGAGUCUGAGAGCGCCAGAGAGCGCGGCCGCCAGAGCACAGCAGGGCACAGUGGACGCUGUUCGCCCAGUCCGCGCGACACACCGGACAGAGGUUGACGGUCUCCUGCCCCUCUCCCGGCCCCCUUCAUCAACCGGGCUGUAGGAUUUCAGCCGAUCGAUCAUUGCCUGAAAAUUUAACCCAGACGGAAUUUGUUGGCCAGAGGACCGAUUUGGGGGCAACUGUGAAGGCUCGGAAGCACAGAGCGCACCAUUUGCCUUUGCUUUGCUUUUCCUUGGUUUCUUUUCGUUUGGUUUGCUGUACAUCUCGGUUUGUUUGGGUCGACAGACCCUACCAGCUCUCAGCCAGGAGUAGAGGAAGAGGAAGUGGAGUUGGCAAUGAGGAGAGCUGGUCCCCAACAGGAAGAGAGUUCCAGAGAGGCUACAGUAUGAUCUUCUUGCCCCUCUCCUCUCAGAGCUCAGCUGACCAGUGCCCAGUUGGACCUCAACCAGGAAGUUGGCUCCCCUCGCCCCUCCUGGGCAGGACCCUCCCCGUUUCCUUUGCUGGAACCUCACCCUCCCCCAAAAGCAUUUUCUGGCUGAUUGCCUUCUGUCAGCCCCAAAGUGCUUCAGUGAAAUGUGCCUGCCUGUCUCUGCUCCUUGUGAGAUCUACUCUCCCUCUGGACUUCUGAAACCGGUUCUGUCCUGCAGGCACUGUUGAUCGGGCAGACUUUUCUGCUCACCUAAGAAGAGUGCAAUUUCGCAGCUCCAAGAUGCAAGCCAAUCAAUUGAGUGGACUGUUCUGCAAUUCAGCAUCGCCCCUCCCACCAGGAACAGAGGCACAGGCAGCCUGCUGAAGCGUGAGGAUUGCGGAGCUCGCCUGCAGGGGGCGAACAAGAGCAAGAAACCUCCCCCAUUGAGCAAGAGGUUUUUGCUGCUUCAAUGGUUCACUGACAAAUACAGAGGCAGGUGUUCUCUGCCUGCCACUGGACUGAGCUUGGUGACUCCAAGGAAGGAGUUAGUGAAAGGACUAAAAGAGCCUGAUAGUCUCAGGGGCCUCUGUGGUAUCCAGUUCCAGACUGUCCAUAGCAGGGUUAUCUGUGCUCACACACCACCAGAGCCAAGAGAGAAGCCAAGGGACAGGUGUGGUUGUUUCUGGCAAGAGGCGUAUGCCCAUUUCUGGGUACCCACAAGAAAAGUCACAAAGGACAGAAAGACAUUUGACAAUGAUUUGCAGAGGAGAAAUUCAUCUCUGAUUGUUUCCAGAGGAUGCAUCAGUUCUUUGAUUUUGGCUGGAUGUCCAGAAAGACUGAAGAGUCUCGGAGUCUCAGAAGGGGCAAGAGCCUCCAUGCCAAGGCAAGGAAAAAUUCAGGAGCCCCAAGACAGGAAAUCACAGUAAGCCAGCCCCAGAAGACAAUUUUAAUUAUAUAGACAGCCUUUUACUGCAUUAAACAAUGAGAAAUUCCAUUUCAUAUCUCUUAUGAACAAGGAAUAGACUUGAGGGGAUGGAAACACUACUUGAAAAAGCCAUUGUAGUACUUAUUGCAACUGUGACCAUCAUAACAAAGCCCUCUCUACUUUUAUUCACAAUCUUUACAUAUUUUCUCUCAAGAAAGUCAGAAAAAAAUAGCUGUACCAGAAGAAAAAUAAGCUAUGACUGUAGAAAGGCUUGAAAGACAAAAGAUAGAGGAAGUAAGAGAACAGGGAAUGCUUAAUUAUGAACCUAUCGUAACUAAUAAAAUUGAGGCUCAAGGCAGACAACCUAUUGCCAGUGAGUAACAAGUCCGGCUCUCUGGUGUGGACAGUUUCUAAUCCUGAGGAGUUGUUUAACGCUAUCAGCUGAGGGUCCCCCAACACCUGAGGCUCAGAGCUGUAACAUUAGCAGCUGAGUGUUGAAAUACUGGCACUCCAGACCUAUAAGGCUGAAAGCAGAGGGUCCUAACUCCCUUGGUGUUCCUGAUAGUAAGGGAGUUUUGUUUUUCCCGCUUAUCUUUUUCCAUCAAAAUAAAGCAAAGUGUUCUCAAUUGGUGGUGCUUGCAUUGUGAAAAUGUGGCUCCUAUUAGGAGCCAACAAGUAGAGGCUAAAAACUAGCGGGUGAUCUUCCUGAGAUGAGUCUGCCUUGGGCCAAACAUAUUCAAACUAUCCAGGAGGUAAAAAAAAAAAAAAAAAAAAAAAAAGUAUAAUUUAGGGCUGCAGAGAUAGCUCAGCGGUUAAGAGCACUGACUGCUCUUCCAGAGGUUCUGAGUUCAAUUCUCAGCAACCACAUGGUGGCUCACAAUCUGUAAUGGGAUCCAAAGCACUCUUCUGGUGUAUUCAUAUAUAACAAAUAAAUAAAUCUUUAAAAAAAUAGAAUGUCGGAAAGGGCGGUGCAGAUCUUCCUGGUUGCUGCCACCGCGGAGAGCUCGUGGGCAGCACCCCACGAGCAAACUUGAGCCUCGGGACCACAGGUAAGACCAACUUUUCUGCUG